UGGGCCCUGCGGCCUCCUCGGGCAUCUCGCCUUCCCAGAGAAUGGCCAGCCCGUCGCCAUGGAGACCGACGCCCGCAAGAACCGGGCCAUUGUGACUGCCGGCGGGGGACCCGGCAAGAGGGGGGGCUUGGCAUCCUUCCACCCCCUCCCCCUCUCUGCCACACCUCCCCCUUCGUAGCCGCUCGAUCGAAGCCCCGGGUGCGGGAGGGAAUUCGUAAGUAAACCCUCGCCCCGCUCUUUAACCCGUGAGCUCAUCCCUCCCGAACUGAGCACUGCGAAUUCCAGCACGGGAGACGGGCGGAAAAUGAAUCUACCCGCAGGAGGACAAGGGCCCUGAAGAGAUGGGUGCGUGCGAAAGGAAAUGCUAUAGAGUCGAUGCUUACUGUGUGGCAGAUCGAUUGGCAAGGGACACGGCAGAGCCUAAGGAUAGGAGACAAGGAAGAUGCCUACGGAGAGAGGAAAGAGAAGGGGAAGGACAGGGUUCGGGUGGGAAGAAGAGAAGUUCUAUUUCGGACCCGUCGGGUACGAGGCGUCAGCCGACGCGGAAACGCGCCGAAGGAAGGAGGAAAUGCAAGACUGCCGAGAAGGACCGGCGAUGAAGACAUGGGAAUCAUCUGGGUAGAAAUGGGAGUCGAAGCCGAGGGACCGCUGAGGGACUUCCAAACGAGUUCUCCGAGGGAGUGGGUGGAGACGGAGAACAGAAGGGGACCCGGAACUACGCCUCCAAGGACCCCCGUUGAAGGAUGGAAGGCGGAGGAGGAGCCCACGCGAGAGGCGGAGGAAAAGCAGCCCGAGAGAUAGGAAGAGAACCAGGAGAGAGUGGUGGACGCCAUCCUUGCCCCCGGGAGCUUGCGGUGUAGAGGGAAAGACAAAUUAAAAUAAAUUAAGGAUACGGAAA